rnacentral:rRNA from 1 species
UUAAGCGACUAAGCGUACACGGUGGAUGCCCUGGCAGUCAGAGGCGAUGAAGGACGUGCUAAUCUGCGAUAAGCGUCGGUAAGGUGAUAUGAACCGUUAUAACCGGCGAUUUCCGAAUGGGGAAACCCAGUGUGAUUCGUCACACUAUCAUUAACUGAAUCCAUAGGUUAAUGAGGCGAACCGGGGGAACUGAAACAUCUAAGUACCCCGAGGAAAAGAAAUCAACCGAGAUUCCCCCAGUAGCGGCGAGCGAACGGGGAGCAGCCCAGAGCCUGAAUCAGUGUGUGUGUUAGUGGAAGCGUCUGGAAAGGCGCGCGAUACAGGGUGACAGCCCCGUACACAAAAAUGCACAUGCUGUGAGCUCGAUGAGUAGGGCGGGACACGUGGUAUCCUGUCUGAAUAUGGGGGGACCAUCCUCCAAGGCUAAAUACUCCUGACUGACCGAUAGUGAACCAGUACCGUGAGGGAAAGGCGAAAAGAACCCCGGCGAGGGGAGUGAAAAAGAACCUGAAACCGUGUACGUACAAGCAGUGGGAGCACGCUUAGGCGUGUGACUGCGUACCUUUUGUAUAAUGGGUCAGCGACUUAUAUUCUGUAGCAAGGUUAACCGAAUAGGGGAGCCGAAGGGAAACCGAGUCUUAACUGGGCGUUAAGUUGCAGGGUAUAGACCCGAAACCCGGUGAUCUAGCCAUGGGCAGGUUGAAGGUUGGGUAACACUAACUGGAGGACCGAACCGACUAAUGUUGAAAAAUUAGCGGAUGACUUGUGGCUGGGGGUGAAAGGCCAAUCAAACCGGGAGAUAGCUGGUUCUCCCCGAAAGCUAUUUAGGUAGCGCCUCGUGAAUUCAUCUCCGGGGGUAGAGCACUGUUUCGGCAAGGGGGUCAUCCCGACUUACCAACCCGAUGCAAACUGCGAAUACCGGAGAAUGUUAUCACGGGAGACACACGGCGGGUGCUAACGUCCGUCGUGAAGAGGGAAACAACCCAGACCGCCAGCUAAGGUCCCAAAGUCAUGGUUAAGUGGGAAACGAUGUGGGAAGGCCCAGACAGCCAGGAUGUUGGCUUAGAAGCAGCCAUCAUUUAAAGAAAGCGUAAUAGCUCACUGGUCGAGUCGGCCUGCGCGGAAGAUGUAACGGGGCUAAACCAUGCACCGAAGCUGCGGCAGCGACACUAUGUGUUGUUGGGUAGGGGAGCGUUCUGUAAGCCUGUGAAGGUGUACUGUGAGGUAUGCUGGAGGUAUCAGAAGUGCGAAUGCUGACAUAAGUAACGAUAAAGCGGGUGAAAAGCCCGCUCGCCGGAAGACCAAGGGUUCCUGUCCAACGUUAAUCGGGGCAGGGUGAGUCGACCCCUAAGGCGAGGCCGAAAGGCGUAGUCGAUGGGAAACAGGUUAAUAUUCCUGUACUUGGUGUUACUGCGAAGGGGGGACGGAGAAGGCUAUGUUGGCCGGGCGACGGUUGUCCCGGUUUAAGCGUGUAGGCUGGUUUUCCAGGCAAAUCCGGAAAAUCAAGGCUGAGGCGUGAUGACGAGGCACUACGGUGCUGAAGCAACAAAUGCCCUGCUUCCAGGAAAAGCCUCUAAGCAUCAGGUAACAUCAAAUCGUACCCCAAACCGACACAGGUGGUCAGGUAGAGAAUACCAAGGCGCUUGAGAGAACUCGGGUGAAGGAACUAGGCAAAAUGGUGCCGUAACUUCGGGAGAAGGCACGCUGAUAUGUAGGUGAAGUCCCUCGCGGAUGGAGCUGAAAUCAGUCGAAGAUACCAGCUGGCUGCAACUGUUUAUUAAAAACACAGCACUGUGCAAACACGAAAGUGGACGUAUACGGUGUGACGCCUGCCCGGUGCCGGAAGGUUAAUUGAUGGGGUCAGCGCAAGCGAAGCUCUUGAUCGAAGCCCCGGUAAACGGCGGCCGUAACUAUAACGGUCCUAAGGUAGCGAAAUUCCUUGUCGGGUAAGUUCCGACCUGCACGAAUGGCGUAAUGAUGGCCAGGCUGUCUCCACCCGAGACUCAGUGAAAUUGAACUCGCUGUGAAGAUGCAGUGUACCCGCGGCAAGACGGAAAGACCCCGUGAACCUUUACUAUAGCUUGACACUGAACAUUGAGCCUUGAUGUGUAGGAUAGGUGGGAGGCUUUGAAGUGUGGACGCCAGUCUGCAUGGAGCCGACCUUGAAAUACCACCCUUUAAUGUUUGAUGUUCUAACGUUGACCCGUGAUCCGGGUUGCGGACAGUGUCUGGUGGGUAGUUUGACUGGGGCGGUCUCCUCCUAAAGAGUAACGGAGGAGCACGAAGGUUGGCUAAUCCUGGUCGGACAUCAGGAGGUUAGUGCAAUGGCAUAAGCCAGCUUGACUGCGAGCGUGACGGCGCGAGCAGGUGCGAAAGCAGGUCAUAGUGAUCCGGUGGUUCUGAAUGGAAGGGCCAUCGCUCAACGGAUAAAAGGUACUCCGGGGAUAACAGGCUGAUACCGCCCAAGAGUUCAUAUCGACGGCGGUGUUUGGCACCUCGAUGUCGGCUCAUCACAUCCUGGGGCUGAAGUAGGUCCCAAGGGUAUGGCUGUUCGCCAUUUAAAGUGGUACGCGAGCUGGGUUUAGAACGUCGUGAGACAGUUCGGUCCCUAUCUGCCGUGGGCGCUGGAGAACUGAGGGGGGCUGCUCCUAGUACGAGAGGACCGGAGUGGACGCAUCACUGGUGUUCGGGUUGUCAUGCCAAUGGCACUGCCCGGUAGCUAAAUGCGGAAGAGAUAAGUGCUGAAAGCAUCUAAGCACGAAACUUGCCCCGAGAUGAGUUCUCCCUGACUCCUUGAGAGUCCUGAAGGAACGUUGAAGACGACGACGUUGAUAGGCCGGGUGUGUAAGCGCAGCGAUGCGUUGAGCUAACCGGUACUAAUGAACCGUGAGGCUUAACCUU